rnacentral:tRNA from 1 species
CAAGAAGUAGUUUAUAUAAAAUAUUAAUUUUGGAGAUUAAUGAUAGAGAGCUUCUCUCUUCUUGA